GCGCAUGGACGCGGAUGGCAUCGUGACGGAUCAGCGCAGACACGGGGGAAGGAGCAGAGGACCGAAAAGACGAGGUGGACAUGUCAGAACUUUUUGAACACCUACGGCUGCUUAUGCUGGACACUGGGCAUGUGGCUGUUUCACAUCAUCAGCCAGUCAGCCUGGCAUCAAGUCACCGAAUCCUGGCAUGAAGUCCCAAUACAACCUCACCUCUAGAAGGUCAGUACCCCAGCAAGGGGAUAACGCUCCCACGAACAAUGUUUCCGCACCCUGGAAAAGUGGCCAGCGCUCAUGAACAGCGCAGAUACCAAGCUGUCAAGGGAAGUGACUGCAUGAACUUUCUGCACAUAUUGGAGCCACUUGAUUCAUCAGAAUCUGAGUUGUGAAAAGGGGACUUUGUCACUGAGGUGCGUCGCAGAGACAUUACAGUGAUCUGCUACUGCAACACUGGGGGAAGAAAUGUAGAGUUCCACACAUGAAAGCCUUGAAUAUAAAGUCUUAACUCCGAUCUCAUGUUUGCCUGAUCUGUUGCAUGUCAAUCCAAGUUCAUCUCAGGAGCCACAAACUGGUAUCAAACAUCUUUAAGGUUUCCUGAUAGGAUGAAGAUGGAACAAUAAAAGGUGGUAAGGAUUAAUUAGUAUCUGAAAAAUAAUUGGCUGAAAUCUGUGCACUAAAUUGAUAUGGGGUAAAGUUUUGUUUCUUGUUGGAGUGUUCAGUUAAUUUCAUUACAGGAUGCACUCUCUGACUGGAAGGAGAUUUUCGGGGUUGCGACGUCAACCUCCCAGGAUUCACAGGUAGCACACGAAAUUUGACAUCUAAAGAUUGUUGUGUAGUUUCAGAUUAUAUUGGAGAUUCCUAAGGAAUGUGAAGGAGGGUCCACAAACCCCCAGACCUCGGCUGAGUGCGCGCUAUGGUCAACGAAGGACAGAGGUGGGGGUUGUGAUUUAGGGUGCUCUGACCAGAGUGCGGAGCCGUGAGGUGCCACCACAGGGUGCCAAAGGAAACACCGAGACCAGUGCAGAACCAGAGUGGGAAAGUCAUCAAAAGAAAGUGGUCAGAACCAAGGUGGACCAGCCCGUACCAGAUGGUGGAACGCACUUCGCACGCUGUCAGGCUCAAAGGAAAAGGCGACACCUGGUAUCAUUGGAGUCAGUGUGCAGCCACUGAGGAACCCCAGCGCUCUCAAACAUCAGGUGCGCCAGGAUUUACAGGAUAACAUCACAACGCUGUGAAAGGGAGCCUAUCGGUGAAUCCUCUACUCAACCACGGUCAUAAUAAAACCCGUAGAGAGAUUCAGUGAGCUUAAGCUCACUCACAAAAAUCGCGCAAAGGAGACAGAGCAGAAGAACAAAGAAGAAGAGGCGGAAGAAGUGGGCAGUGAGCUGCUCUCCUGCUCCAGGAAAAAAAAAAAAAAAAAAAAAAAAAAAAGCAUUAAACAGAAGAGGCGGAAGUAGUGUUUUUUACCUGACCACUUGGUGUUGUAGCAGCUCUUACACUCAGAGAGAAGAAGAAAACCAAAAAGAGACUCAGAGAACUUAA